rnacentral:rRNA from 1 species
GGAAAACUCACCAGGUCCAGACAUAGGAAGGAUUGACAGAUUGAGAGCUCUUUCUUGAUUCUAUGGGUGGUGGUGCAUGGCCGUUCUUAGUUGGUGGAUUGAUUUGUCUGGUUGAUUCCGACAACGAACGAGACCUUCGCCUGUUUAAUAGGAUCACGUUCUAUUUGAUCGUGACUUCUUCUUAACGGGACUUUGCGCCUCCAGCGUAAUGAAGCGAAGGCAAUAA